rnacentral:rRNA from 1 species
UACGAAGGGGGGCUAGCGUUGCUCGGAAUCACUGGGCGUAAAGCGCACGUAGGCGGAUUGUUAAGUCAGGGGUGAAAUCCUGGAGCUCAACUCCAGAACUGCCUUUGAUACUGGCGAUCUUGAGUCCGGGAGAGGUGAGUGGAACUCCGAGUGUAGAGGUGAAAUUCGUAGAUAUUCGGAAGAACACCAGUGGCGAAGGCGGCUCACUGGCCCGGUACUGACGCUGAGGCACGAAAGCGUGGGGAGCAAACAGG